GGCGGCGUGCUUAACACAUGCAAGUCGAACGAUGAAGCCCUUCGGGGUGGAUUAGUGGCGAACGGGUGAGUAACACGUGGGCAAUCUGCCCUUCACUCUGGGACAAGCCCUGGAAACGGGGUCUAAUACCGGAUAACACCCUCGCAGGCAUCUGUGAGGGUUAAAAGCUCCGGCGGUGAAGGAUGAGCCCGCGGCCUAUCAGCUUGUUGGUGAGGUAAUGGCUCACCAAGGCGACGACGGGUAGCCGGCCUGAGAGGGCGACCGGCCACACUGGGACUGAGACACGGCCCAGACUCCUACGGGAGGCAGCAGUGGGGAAUAUUGCACAAUGGGCGAAAGCCUGAUGCAGCGACGCCGCGUGAGGGAUGACGGCCUUCGGGUUGUAAACCUCUUUCAGCAGGGAAGAAGCGAGAGUGACGGUACCUGCAGAAGAAGCGCCGGCUAACUACGUGCCAGCAGCCGCGGUAAUACGUAGGGCGCAAGCGUUGUCCGGAAUUAUUGGGCGUAAAGAGCUCGUAGGCGGCUUGUCACGUCGAUUGUGAAAGCCCGAGGCUUAACCUCGGGUCUGCAGUCGAUACGGGCUAGCUAGAGUGUGGUAGGGGAGAUCGGAAUUCCUGGUGUAGCGGUGAAAUGCGCAGAUAUCAGGAGGAACACCGGUGGCGAAGGCGGAUCUCUGGGCCAUUACUGACGCUGAGGAGCGAAAGCGUGGGGAGCGAACAGGAUUAGAUACCCUGGUAGUCCACGCCGUAAACGGUGGGAACUAGGUGUUGGCGACAUUCCACGUCGUCGGUGCCGCAGCUAACGCAUUAAGUUCCCCGCCUGGGGAGUACGGCCGC
rnacentral:rRNA from 1 species